AACGAACGCUGGCGGCAUGCCUAACACAUGCAAGUCGAACGAGACCUUCGGGUCUAGUGGCGCACGGGUGCGUAACGCGUGGGAACCUGCCCUUAGGUUCGGAAUAACUCCCCGAAAGGGGUGCUAAUACCGGAUAAUGUCUUCGGACCAAAGAUUUAUCGCCUUUGGAUGGGCCCGCGUUGGAUUAGCUAGUUGGUAGGGUAAAAGCCUACCAAGGCGACGAUCCAUAGCUGGUCUGAGAGGAUGAUCAGCCACACUGGGGCUGAGACACGGCCCAGACUCCUACGGGAGGCAGCAGUGGGGAAUAUUGGACAAUGGGCGAAAGCCUGAUCCAGCAAUGCCGCGUGAGUGAUGAAGGCCUUAGGGUUGUAAAGCUCUUUUACCCGGGAUGAUAAUGACGGUACCGGGAGAAUAAGCUCCGGCUAACUCCGUG
rnacentral:rRNA from 1 species